UACGUAGGGUGCGAGCGUUAAUCGGAAUUACUGGGCGUAAAGUGUGCGCAGGCGGCCGCGCAAGUCGAGUGUGAAAUCCCCGAGCUUAACUUGGGAAUUGCGCUCGAAACUACGUGGCUGGAGUGUGGCAGAGGAAGGUGGAAUUCCACGUGUAGCGGUGAAAUGCGUAGAGAUGUGGAGGAACACCGAUGGCGAAGGCAGCCUUCUGGGCCAACACUGACGCUCAGGUGCGAAAGCGUGGGGAGCAAACAGG
rnacentral:rRNA from 1 species